rnacentral:rRNA from 1 species
AUUGAACGCUGGCGGCAUGCUUUACACAUGCAAGUCGAACGGUAACAGCACUUCGGUGGCUGACGAGUGGCGAACGGGUGAGUAAUACAUCGGAACGUGCCUAGUAGUGGGGGAUAACUACUCGAAAGAGUAGCUAAUACCGCAUGAGAUCUAAGGAUGAAAGCAGGGGACCUUCGGGCAUUGCGCUACUAGAGCGGCUGAUGGCAGAUUAGGUAGUUGGUGGGAUAAAAGCUUACCAAGCCGACGAUCUGUAGCUGGUCUGAGAGGACGACCAGCCACACUGGGACUGAGACACGGCCCAGACUCCUACGGGAGGCAGCAGUGGGGAAUUUUGGACAAUGGGCGCAAGCCUGAUCCAGCAAUGCCGCGUGCAGGAUGAAGGCCUUCGGGUUGUAAACUGCUUUUGUACGGAACGAAAAGCCCUCUUCUAAUACAGGAGGGUCAUGACGGUACCGGAAGAAUAAGCACCGGCUAACUACGUG